rnacentral:lncRNA from 1 species
AUUAUGAAUUAAUAUAAAUUAAUGUACCAUGAACUGCAAGGGAUAAUAUAUAUAUUUAUAUAUGGAGUUGGGCUGGAAUACUAUCAGUAGCAAACAUGCUUCGGUGUUAUCCAUUUGUUUUCGAUGAUGAAGCCUCCAAAUGGACGAUCGUCAAUAUUGAGCAUAAUUUAUACCACUUGAAAUAUGUAGAAAUCAAAUUUAAAUCUUUUUUACAUCAAUGGCCUAAUGAUCAAAAGGUUUCAAAUUUUAAAAUUUUAAUAAUCAAUAUGAGAUGUUUUCUCAUUUAACGGCGUAGAGAUAUUCAAAUCAAUUGAAUUUUGGUUAAUUUUUUUUUAAAACUAUUUAGAAUAAAAUCUAUACGCUUGAUCUUGAUUAAAGUCUCUUAUCAUCACUUUUUAAAAAAUAUUCAAUUUUUAUUGUUCUUUUUUGUGUCCACUUGAUAGACAAGAGAAAAAUAUCGAAAAAAUAUAAAAUUUAAUUUUAGAUGCUUUAGGUGGUAUAGAUUAUAUUCAACGGUGUCAAUCAUCGAUUUGGAGGCUCCAUUAUUGAAAAUAAAUUGUGGCAACGGAGUCUGUUUGCUACUGAUAGCAUUUCAAUUCAACUCUAUAUAUGUAGUGUAGGUCUUGUGUGCUAUUAGGAAUAUGGAGGCCUCCGUGCUCCUAAGCCAUUUUUUAUGAUGGAUCUUUCGAAUCGAUGAUCAGCUCCAUCAGACUUGAUCUAACUAAUUUGAAGCAUUUAGAAAAUAAAUUUUGUGAUUUUUUGAUAUUAUAUAUUUACCUAGCAAUCGAAAGGGUUCAAAAUUAAUAAUUUUUAAUGGUUGAUGCAUAUUGUUUGCAAGUUUAACAGUAUAGUAGUAUUCAAUAAGAUGAAAUUUUAAUAGAAAUUUUUUUGUACUAUCUAUAACAAGAUUAAUAUAUCUGAUCGAAAAUUUUAGUACUACAUCACCAUUUUUUAUGCGAUUUUUAUUUUCAACCGUCAAUUUUGAACCCUUUCGAUCGCUAGGUAAAUGAUAUCGAAAAAUCACGAAAUUUAUUUUCUAGAUACUUCAAAUAUGCUAUAUCAAAUCUAAUGAAGCCGAUCAUCGAUUCGAUAACUCCAUCAUCGAAAACGGCUUAGGAACACGGAGGCCUCCGUGCUCCUAGCUAAUAGCAUACAAAUCAAACCUACUCCAUAUAU